GACUCUGUAGCUCAAUGGUAAGAGCGCACCAUUCCAACCCCCAAAUUGUACACCGGUGAGGUCCGAGGUUCGAAUCCCGGCGGGUCCA
rnacentral:tRNA from 1 species